GACGAACGCUGGCGGCGUGCCUAACACAUGCAAGUCGAACGGAGAUACGAUUUCGGUUGUAUCUUAGUGGCGAACGGGUGAGUAACGCGUGAGCAACCUGACUCUUAGAGGGGGAUAACACUCGGAAACGAGUGCUAAUACCGCAUAAGACCACGACAUGGCAUCAUGACGAGGUCAAAGGAGCAAUCCGCUGAGAGAGGGGCUCGCGUCCCAUUAGAUAAAUGGCGGGGUAACGGCCCACCAUGUCCGCGAUGGGUAGCCGAGCUGAGAGGCUGAUCGGCCACACUGGAACUGAGACACGGUCCAGACUCCUACGGGAGGCAGCAGUGGGGAAUAUUGGGCAAUGGGCGCAAGCCUGACCCAGCAACGCCGCGUGAGGGAAGAAGGCUUUCGGGUUGUAAACCUCUGUCCUUGGUGACGAAACAAAUGACGGUAGCCAAGGAGGAAGCCCCGGCUAACUACGUGCCAGCCGCCGCAGUAA
rnacentral:rRNA from 1 species